UAGGGAAUCUUCCACAAUGGACGAAAGUCUGAUGGAGCAACGCCGCGUGAGUGAUGAAGGUUUUCGGAUCGUAAAACUCUGUUGUAAGGGAAGAACAAGUGCGUUAGGUAAUGAACGCACCUUGACGGUACCUUAUUAGAAAGCCACGGCUAACUACGUGCCAGCAGCCGCGGUAAUACGUAGGUGGCAAGCGUUGUCCGGAUUUAUUGGGCGUAAAGCGCGCGCAGGUGGUUUCUUAAGUCUGAUGUGAAAGCCCACGGCUCAACCGUGGAGGGUCAUUGGAAACUGGGGAACUUGAGUGCAGAAGAGGAUAGUGGAAUUCCAAGUGUAGCGGUGAAAUGCGUAGAGAUUUGGAGGAACACCAGUGGCGAAGGCGACUGUCUGGUCUGUAACUGACACUGAGGCGCGAAAGCGUGGGGAGCAAACAGGAUUAGAUACCCUGGUAGUCCACGCCGUAAACGAUGAGUGCUAAGUGUUAGGGGGUUUCCGCCCCUUAGUGCUGCAGCUAACGCAUUAAGCACUCCGCCUGGGGAGUACGACCGCAAGGUG
rnacentral:rRNA from 1 species